GGGGGCGAUUGGCUUCGACAGGGAAAAAAGGGUCAAGGAGGCAUGCCGGGUACUAUCUGCCCGCAAUCAGGUGGAAAUAAACACAAACGCAGACAACGAUCUAGCACUGGCUGCCUAGUGCAGCCCGUCUGCCGGACUUCCCUCCCGCUGGAGGACCGAGCGGGCGUCAUCAAAAGCGGGAUAGCAUCUCCGGACGCCUAUAAGGAGAGGCGAAACUCAAUAGGCUGGGACGACGGAAAACCUGUCGGCGGGUGUUCCCGAUUCCGAGACCCAAAACACCGAAUAAGCAUGUAGGCUCCUUAGGUUCUUGUUCUUUGGACGCGGGUUCGAUUCCCGCC
rnacentral:tmRNA from 1 species